rnacentral:rRNA from 1 species
GAUGAACGCUGACAGAAUGCUUAACACAUGCAAGUCUUUGGCGAAGCUGUGCUUGCACAGCCUAGCCAAGGCGGACGGGUGAGUAACGCGUAAGGAACUUGCCCUGCAGUCAGGGAUAACAGACGGAAACGACUGAUAAGACCUGGUAAAGUCAGGCGGACUCAUGUCCAGCCUGAUGAAAAGAGAUGCUGCAGGAGAGCCUUGCGUCCUAUUAGCUUGUUGGUGGGGUAACGGCCCACCAAGGCGAUGAUAGGUAGCCGGCCUGAGAGGGUGGUCGGCCACAAGGGGACUGAGAUACGGCCCUUACUCCUACGGGAGGCAGCAGUGGGGAAUAUUGGACAAUGGGGGCAACCCUGAUCCAGCAAUUCUGUGUGCACGAUGAAGGUUUUCGGAUUGUAAAGUGCUUUCAGCAGGGAAGAAAAAAUGACGGUACCUGCAGAAGAAGCGACGGCUAAAUACGUG